GAGUUUGAUCAUGGCUCAGGAUGAACGCUGGCGGCAUGCCUAACACAUGCAAGUCGAACGGGGUUUAUAUGACGGAACUCUCCGGAGGGAAGAUAUAUAAACCUAGUGGCGGACGGGUGAGUAACGCGUGGCAACCUGCCCUGUACCGGGGGACAACAGCCAGAAAUGGCUGCUAAUACCGCAUAAGCCUGCUGUGCCGCAUGGCACAGCAGGGAAAACCACGGUGGUACAGGAUGGGGCCCGCGUCUGAUUAGUUAGUUGGCAGGGUAACGGCCGUACCAAGACAACGAUCAGUAGCCGGCUUGAGAGAGUGGACGGCCACAUUGGGACUGAGACACGGCCCAGACUCCUGCGGGAGGCAGCAGUGGGGAAUAUUGCACAAUGGGGGGAACCCUGAUGCAGCAAUGCCGCGUGGGUGAAGAAGCACUCCGGUGCGUAAAGCCCUGUCAGCAGGGAAGAAAUGACAGUACCUGGACAAGAAGCCCCGGCUAACUACGUGCCAG
rnacentral:rRNA from 1 species